rnacentral:lncRNA from 1 species
CCAAAAUCUGAUAAUAAUGUACCCAUCACAUUCCCCAUUCUCCACUAAUUAUAACAAACUCAUCAUUUUCCUGCAAUUAAAUAAAUUAUCAUUCACUAAUUAUUAAUGAAUUCAACAAACGAUACUAAUCCAUUAAAACUGAAAAGGGAAAAAGGAAAACUUACAGGAAGUUGAUUUUUCUUAAGAAUCGAAUAAAUUAAUUAGGCAUUUUGCCAACACUGAAUAACUGCUAUAUUUCACGUUUGUUUCAUGUGUUUUAUAAAUGACAGUAAAUACGAAAAAUUAUUACUCAGUAAAGUCGUUAAAUUUUAUUUUAUAUUAAAAAGAGAUUUUUUAUUUAAAAAAAAACGUUUUACACCUUUACAUUUUGAAUUUGAGUAAUUAUUAUACCCCUUACACAUUUUGAGAUGUUAAAUCAAUUGUUAGAAAAUGAAUUGAUUUAUUGUAUAUAUUUUAAAAUGUAGAAAUUAAUGGCCUUCAAUUAAUGAGUUAAAAGUGUGUAAUAUAAAUAAAAAUUUUAAAACAUUAAGAAAUAAUUUCAUAAAAAUAUUAAAUUUCAUACUUUUUGCCCUUUAAUUUCUUUUCUUUCACCCUUAAAGAGAAAUUUUUGCCCUAAAAAUUAACAUACCUACAAGCCUUUUCAGACAAAAAAUCAAGUGGACGGAGACGGAGAUAGGUGGUGAUUUAUCAGUUCGGAUAAACUCAUUAAUUUUUUCAUAGAUCCUAUAUUUAUAUUGAAAAAUAAACAAAUAUAUAUACAUAUAUAUUAACACGUGAACUUCCAAAUAAAAUUAAUUUAAAACCUCCAAACUCCUAACCUUAACUCCACCUUAGAAUGAAUUAAUGACCAUAUAUAUUCUCCACUCAAUAAAUAAUGACAAGAAUAUUUAAUUAAUUAGCCAUUCUUCUGCCAAAAGGGAAAAAAACAGUAAAUAUAACUACUUUCUUUUACGUUUCAUGUGAUAGCAACAGUGGGAGAUUACUUUCAAUUCUUAUCUUAUAAACGAGAAAUUAUACAUAAAAGUCAGUAAUUUUUUUCCUUGUAAAAUUACUCAAUUAAAUUUGCUUUUAGAAAAACCCCACUGUAAUUUACACCCUCAACGUUUUGAAUUUGAGAAACUAUACCUCUUUCACAUUUUAAAUUAAAUGUAAUAAUAGACCAAUUGAUAUUAAAUCAAUUAUUAGAAAUAUGUUGAUUUAUUAUAUACUACUUAUGUUCGCGUGAACUAACAAUUAUUUUAAAAAUAAUUUCUUUUAUAAAUUAGCACUUACUAAAAAGAAGAAAUAUGAACAAUACUUGAUAAAACUAUAAAAUGUUUAUAAUAAUUGUUUCAAUUUUGUAAGAUAUUGUGUUAGGUUAUUAGCAUUUUAAUAUUAAUAUUUAACAUAUUAAAUUGCUUUAUUUUGGAGUUAUAAGAAUGACCAUUGGUAGGCAUUCAUCUUUGACUUGGUAGUCAUGUAGUGCCAUUACUUUUGGCUUUAUUAGUUGAAUUCAUUGUGAGAUAAAAACAUUCCAAUAAACAUUGAAAUGGAUAACUUCUACAUCAUCCAUUAGCAUUUGUUGUCCAUCACUUUAUUUCAUUCUUAAUUUCUCCAUUACUCUUUGUAACCUAUGUAACUCCUAUUGUAACAUAUGUAACCUAUAAACUCCUAAGGCCAUUAUCUUCAUUAUUUACUACCUCCAUUAUCUUCCUAUUCAUUGCUAAGAAGACUUCUUGUAGUAUAAAUAGUGGUGGUCUUCAUUUGGUUUGGUACACACAAAACACAAAAGAAAACAAAGAGUGAAAGAGUUAGUCUAAAAGGGAGUUCUUAUUAGUUGAAGGGAUGUGUUCUUUUUUGUGGAGCUUUGGACUCAACUCUUGUCCAGAGUUGUUGAGUUAUACUUUGUGAAGGUUGUUGUAUUCUGGAGGGGACAAGUCAAAGAGGACUACUGCUGGACCGGUGAAAACAUUUGCUGCAGUGGACUUGAAUCUCCCUAAAGAGAGCGAGAUAUCCGCGCCUCAACCUGAAGAGAUUAAUUUCUUUAUUUUAUUUUCAAUUGUAAUUUUGCAAUUUUAUUAUCUUGUAAAUUUUUUCACUAACAUAUUGUUUCGUAUUAUUUUGUUAUAUAUGGAAAGCAAAUACGUAUAUAAUCUGUCCUCCUUGUUUUUUAAAGUAUGGAUGCUUAUUUUUAUAGAAGGAACUACUGAACUUAGAGCUUUUUAAAUAUAGUUCUUCAAUAUGAUUUAUUUAACAAAAAAAACAUACUUGUUAGGUAUAUAAUUUUUUAUAAAAUUCUUUAUUUUUAAAGAAAAUUAUGCAAGUUAAAAUAUGAAAAUUACAAAAAGCAUGUCAAUAGUAAUACAAAGGAAAGAACGACUAACUAUCUCAAUCACAUAAAAUAUAAAUAUAAAAAAUUAUAAUAAUAAAAUUGAAAAGCAACCAAUAUUAAUAUUUCAACAUACAACUCGAUACAAAAUUAUAGUCAUUUUUAUUUGUUUUAAUUAUCAAAGAAUAAUUGUACAAAUAAUAAAUAGUGAAUAUUUUAACUCUUGAGGAGUUACAAAAUUCACUAAAUGUAUAACUAUUUAGAGAAAAUUACAAUUUAAAUAAUGACAAAAAAAGCACAGAAUUGGAGAAAAAGAAUAAGUAGGACUUUUAGUAUAUAAGAGUUUCUGUUAUUGUUUGUUUUUAUAUCAUAUUGAAAUUAUUUAUAAUUUCUUUUUGUAUUCACACAAAUUAAAAAAGUUUAUCUAUAUUUAGAGCCCGUUUGGAUUGACUUAAAAGAACAACUUUUAAAGUGCUGAAACUUAUUUUAAAAUAAGUAGUUAUAUGUCUGGAUAAAAGUGUUGCAUUUGAAAAAAAGUUGUUGAUGUGUUUGACAAAUAAGUGUUGACAAACACAUUUUUGAUCAAAAUGUCUGAAAUACCCUUAAAGUCGUUGACAUGAUAAAAAUUUAUUUAAUUUAAGGUUUUUAUACUUGAAAAAAUUAAACAAAAUUAAUUUAUAUUUUACAUCAAUAAGUAAUAGUAUUUCCGGUCAUUCACAUAUUUCUUAUCGUCACAAAUUAUUUAUAAAAGGAAUUUAAUUUUAUUAUUUAAGUUAAUUUUAUAUGCACAACUUAUAAUAAUAAUAAUAAUUUAAAAAAAUAAAAAAAAUAAAUAAGAAUAAUAACAAUAAAAACAUAAAAAAAAAAAAUAAUAAAACAAUAAUAAUAAUAAUAAUAAUAGUAAUAAUAAAAUAAUAAUAAUAAUAAUAAAUAGUAAUAAUAAAAAUAAUAAAAUAAAAAAAUAAUAAUAAUAAAAUAAUAAUAAUAAUAAAAUAAUAAUAAUAAUAAUAAUAAGUAAUAAAAGAAUUAAGGGCAAAAACGUAAUACACUUGGUCAAUAUAAAAUGACUUUUAAGUUGAAAAAAAACACCCAAUUACCUAACUUUUAACUUUUGGUUUAAAAUAAGUCAUUUUUGACUUAAAAUAAGUUAUUUUGAUAAUUGUCCAACACUCUAAUGAGUCAAAAACUGACUUUUAAGGUAGUUUGACCAACUUAAAAGUUCAUCCAAACAGACUCUUACUCAAUAUAUUUCACAAAAAUAAUAAUUCAGUUCAUUUUAGUGUGUAUUUUGUAUGUUUUGUUGUGUCAUUUUAUUUAAUUACGAAACAGUUAGAAGAAAAAAAUUUCAUUAUUUUAGUACAAAACUUUUAAAAUCUCAAGUUUUAAUAAAUAAUACAUACUCCUUCUAUUUCAAAAUAAGUUAAAUUGUUGAAGCCUUUUUGUCAUAGUUCAAAAUAAGUGAAUUGGUCCAAAAUUAAGAGAGAUGUUGAAAAAUUCUUUCAUUUUUGCCCUCAUUUUCAAUGUUAAAUAAUUAUAAAAUAAAUGAGUUUUUAAAUACAUAAUAUGUACAAAUAAAUAAAUGACUUAAUUUUGAGUAAAUUUGUUAUAUGAUAUAAAUGAAAGAAAAAUGAAAAGAAGUCUUAAAAAGAGAGAUAACAAAUUAAGUAAAAAGGAAUUGAGGAGACAUGCUUAUUUAGCAAAAUAAAUAGAUAAAAAGAAUUGUAUGUCGUGAAAUGGAUCAACCCGCUAAUAAAAAGAACAAAGCAAUACAGUAGUAUUUCCUUAUUAAUUUUAAAUAAAAUUAGAGUAUGUCUAUGUUACCAAAAGUGUACAACCACAAAUAAAGAAAAAACAUAUGUUACCAUAAAAAUGUUUUACGUGCAAAUCUUGAAUAGUUGAUGUGUAAAUGAUAGACUAAAAUCUAAAUUCAUUAUAGUUUGCGAAAACUAAAUGUAGAGGUAAUGAAUAGAAUCAUAGAAAGGAAUUGAGGAGAUAUGUCAUUUUAGUAGAAAAGUGAAUAAACAAAGGUUUUUGUAAUUUAUGAAUAUCAUUAGCGGUAAUAAACAUUAUAAUUUUUUUAGUUAUGAAACAAAUUAAUUAAUGAAGUGAGUAAACUCAUUUUUUCAAUUUUAUAAUCAGCUUAAACAAACAUCAAUUUUCUCUAUAACUUAGAAAAUAUGUUCAUUAUAAUUGGAUAUUGGCAGAACAAACUUGGUUCUGAAAAAUUUCAUUAAAUUAGAAGAAUUAAAUGUUUUAUGAAUUUUGAGUCCCACAAUCAUAUAUAUAGACUAAUUUUAUACAAGUGUUAACAAAUACGAAAUGAAAACUUAAUGGAGGGAAUCUCAUCUCCUUUUUAGUCAAUUCAAAAUCCACAAAAGAAAGAAAUGUGUUAUAUCAUCUAAAUUAGAAUGAAAAGAAGCUAUCAUCAAAACAAAAGAUGAUGGAAUAUUCUUGAUCGAAAAAUUAUGGCAUAUUAACAUGUUAUAUACAUAAUAUAUAUCGAUAUAGAAUAUGUAUUGUAUAUCCAAAAGACAAAAGUUAUAUCAAAAUUUUUCUUUAAGCAACAACAUAAUCAGUGGAAGAUCAUGUUGCCCUUAAUACAAAAAGUGUGAUUUGUAAUAUAAUCUUGUUCUUGAAGGGUACAUAAUUUCAUGGAUAAAUAAUUAAUUGAAAAAUUAUAUAAACAACAAUAAAUGCAUAUAUAUAUAUAUAUAUAUAUAUAUAAAACUUUUGUAUGUAUAAAACAUGUCUUUUUAGAGACAUUCUUUGUGAUACCACAUGACCAAAGAUUGCAAUCUUUCCCACGCCUAGCAUGAUGACUUACACCUCAUUCGUUUUAAAGAAUCACUACAACAAAAUAGGAUUUGGUGGCAAUUAUUUAGCGACAAUUCAUCAUUUGCCGCUAAUUAAUUAUUUAAGCUGAAAUAUUAGCGAUAAAUAAACAAUAGACGCUAAAAGAUAUUUUUUAAUGACAAUAAAGUCGAUUGUCCAGCAAAAUUACUAAUUUAACGCUACUUUUGUCCAUUAAUUUUCCCUCCAAUAAUUUCCAUUACAUUAAGAAAAAAAUUUAAAAUUAAAAAAAACCUUAUUUCCUCUAUUGCUGCCCAUAACCUAUAGUAUUCUACUCACCAAGAUCUUUGUGAUGAAGCCCGCCACUGUUGUGAAUGAGACGAGUCUUGACUGGGAUGCCACUCAGGAUGAGCACAUGGGACUGCCACGCAAGACGACUAGAAAGGUCAUUCCUCCCAAAAGGCUUGGGGAUUACGUUUGGAAAAGAGGAAGUUCACAUGAAAGGAGGUAAAAUUGGCAGAGCAAAUGGCAUAAAGUAGCGUGAGUGGAGCAGUGCAGGGGAUCGAUUUUCUGUUGUUAUCACUGGACUCUCUUUCUCUCAAUUUCUUUUACGUUUCUGACCUCUUUCUUCUUCUAUCAUUAGUUUGAUUACUUCUGCAAUUUAAUAUUGUAUUUCUGAUUCUAGGAACUUCAAUAUAUAUAUAUACUACUUGUAAGUUGAGUAAAGAGUAUUAAUAUAAGGUUGUUAGUGUUCACUGUGUCAAUUUGUUACAUUGGUGCUUUCAUCCAGAGGUCUUCUAUGGAUGACCAAAGACUCAAGUCACUUGUUGAAGAAUCAGUUCAGGGUAUGAACGACUCCAUUCUCGCAGACAUUCACUCUUUUUUACUGGAAGUGGUGGGAAGCAAAACCCAAUGCCCGGAGAGGGACUCACAUGAUGACCGUUUUCCGACAGCCCCUAACUUCCGUCACAAACCACCUUCGGUGGAGUUUGGACGCUUCCGUGGAGAGAAUUCAAGGUUGAGGUUAUUCCCCGUUUUGCAGUUAUGGUGGGCAGUGGGCAAAGUCUCCCGUGUGAAUGUGUGGUGAGACAAGUCACCGUAUUGAUUCAAGGGUGUACUAUAGUCGAGGACCUUUAUGUCUUUCCUUUCCAAGGUGCGGAUGUAGUCCUUGGAGUGGCAUGGUUGGCUACAUUGGGGCGUGUUAUAACUGAUUAUGCAACAAGAGAAUUUGAAUUUACUUUACGUGGGUCUAAGUGGUUAUGGAAGAGAGAUCCACCUACUGAUGCUCAUCAAAUUCAGUUGCAUAGUUUAAGGCGUAUGACAACGACUGAUGCUAUUGCUUCGUUCUUUUUUCUGGCAAUGAUUACUCCUGAAGGGAGUUGUGCAGGUGAAAUGACCACAAAUUUGAGUGGUCUAUUGGAGUCAUAUCAUGAUGUGUUUCGGAAACCCACAGGAUUGCCACCUUCUCGUGCUCAGGAUCAUUCGAUACACCUCGUCCCAGGGGCACAACCAGUGAAUGUUAAAUUAUAUAGGUACCCACACUUCCAAAAGCAGGUCAUGGAGCAGAUGGUGAAAGAUAUGCUUAAAGAUGGAGUUAUACAACCCAGCACCAGUCCAUUUUCAUCACCGGUGUUGUUAGUCUGUAAGAAGGAUGGUACAUGGCGCUUCUGUGUUGAUUAUCGAGCACUCAAUGCCAUCACAAUCCGAGAUCGCUUCCCUAUUCCAACCAUUGAUGAGUUGUUUGACGAAUUACAUGGUGCUAAAUUCUUUUCAAAGUUGGACUUGUUAUCAGGUUACCAUUAGAUAAAAGUCAAGCUUGAGGAUGUGGCUAAGACAGCCUUUCGUACUCAUGACGGUCAUUAUGAAUUUUGAGUAAUGCCAUUUGGAUUAACUAAUGCCCCUUCAACAAUUCAAGCUACUAUGACUGAAAUUUUUCGUCUACAUAUGCGUCGCUUUGUUCUGGUGUUUUUCGAUGAUAUAUUGGUCUAUAGUGCAUCUUGGAGUGACCAUUUGGAGUAUUUAGCAGCGGUAUUGCAGUUGUUAAGGCAACAUUAACGUGUGGAUAAACGCUCAAAAUGCUUGUUUGGUCAAUCCUCUAUCUAUUACCUAGGCCACAUCAUCUUUGCUUAAGACCUCUCAGUAGAUCCAGAAAAAAUCAGUACUAUUGAGCAGUGGUCGCCACCAAGAUCAGUUAAAGAAGUUCGUAGUUUCCUUGGGCUAGCUGGGUAUUAUCGCAGGUUUAUUCACCAUUAUGCAUCUAUUGCGGGUCCAUUAACUGACCUGUUGCGCAAAGAUUCCUUCAAAUGGACAGCAAUUGAACAACAUGCUUUCAACACUUUAAAAUCUCGAUUAAUCUCUACCCCUGUUUUGGCCUUGCCUAAUUUUAGUCAGGAGUUUCAGGUGGAAACUGAUGCAUCUGGGCGAGGUAUUGGAGCUAUUUUGUCACAGCAAAGCCACCAUAUUGCUUUCUUUAGCCAAAAGUUAAGCUCUAGGAUGUAAAAAGCUUCAACAUAUCACCGAGAGAUGUUUGCCAUUACUCAAGCUGUGAGUAAAUGGCGACAGUAUCUAUUGGGGCGUCAGUUCACUAUCCUUACUGAUCAACAAUCACUGCGUAACUUAACUACCCAACAGACCCCUGAGCAACAAAAAUGUCUCACAAAACUUGUCGGCUAUGACUUUUGGAUCUUAUAUAGGCCUGGAAAACAGAACACAGCAGCAGAUGCCUUGUCCCAUAUUUCAGAGGCUGUUCUCAUGACUAUUUCAGUUAAUUCUUUAGCUAUAGAGGUUGAUUUAAAGCAUCUUAAUCAGACCAACCCCGAGUUAGUACCAAUACAACAAGCCUUGGAUCUUGGGAAUAAAAAAUUUGAUGACUAUCAGUGCAAAGAAGGGAUAUAAUUUUAUAAAAGGAGGAUAGUGAUUCCAUCGGACUCUCCCUUGCGUCAUAAAUUACUACUUGAGUUGCAUGCUACUGCUAGAGGAGGACAUGCCGGGGUUACACGCACAUUCCAUCGUUUUUAUCUAAUUUCUUUUGGAAAAAGAUGCGCAAGGAUGUACAAACAUUUGUGGCUGCGUGUCAUAUAUGUCAACAAAUGAAAAUUCUCACCUACAUCCUGCUGGGCUAUUACAACCAUUGUUGAUUCCAAACUAGGUCUUUGAGGAUAUCACAAUGGACUUCAUUACUUGUCUUCAAAGCUUCAAUGGAAAGACCACGAUCAUGACAGUCGUAGACCGUCUCACUAAGUACGUUCAUUUUAUUCCAUUGCCAUCUAUUUUCUCGACUCGUACAGUAGCUGAGGCCUUUGUGGUGGAUAUUAUUAGGCUUCAUGACCCUCCACGUUCUAUUGUCACAGAUCGUGAUCCACAGUUCUUGCAUUCUUUUUGGCAAGAGAUUAAUCGCUUACAAGGAUCCACUUUAGCCAUGAGUACAGCCUAUCAACCUCAAACAGAUGGGCAAUCUGAGGCUCUUAACAAAUGUGUGGAGCAAUAUUUGCGUUGCUACGUCGCUGAGGUGCCUUCCAAAUGGGUUGCUAUGUUGCCAUGGGCAAAAUUUUGGUAUAAUACUUCAUAUCAAACUUCAGCUGGUAUGACCCCUUUCCAGGCAAUUAUAUGGUCGUGAACCUGCUACUGCUGCUCGGUACAUUUUGGAAGUAGUGCAAGCGAACUGGUUGAUUCCUAUCUGUUGCAGUGGGAUGAAGUCUUGCACAUCCUCAAAAAUACUUUGUUGAAGGCUCAGAAUCGCAUGAAACGGUUGGCUGAUAAGUCUAGGACUGAUACCUUCCUUGAAGUGGGUGAUUGGGUGUAUGUCAAACUUAAGCCCUUCAGGCAGAAUACUCUACGCCUGCAGCGAGAUCAUAAGCUUGGGAGGUGUUAUUUUGGGCCCUAUCAGGUGUUAAAACGCAUUGGUCCUGUUGCUUAUCCCCUGGAACUGCCUGAAUCUACAAAAAUCCAUUUUGUUUUUCAUAUUUCUAUGUUGAAGCGUUGUGUUGGAACUCCGGAUCAGCAAGUGACUCCUCUACAUCUGAGUGUUCCUAAUACAGAGGAUCUCGCUAAGUCUAACCUCUAGGACAAGGUUGAUUUCCAGGAAGGGAGUAAUGUUGUGAAUGAGACGAGUGUUGACUGGGAUGCCACUCAGGAUGAGCACAUGGGACUGCCACGUAAGACGGCUAGAAAGGUCAUUCCUCCCAAAAGGCUUAAUGAUUACAUUUAGAAAAAAAUAAGUUCACGUGAAAGGAGGUAAAAUUGGCAGAGCAAAUGGUAUAAAAUAGCGUGAGUGGAGCAGUGUAGGUGAUAACAACAGAAAAUCUAUUCCCUGUUUUCAGUAUGUCUGACUUCACAUUGCCACCUAUGUUGCACGGACUCUUCAAAAAUGUCAAUGGGUGCGUGUUGGAUUCGCCAAAAGUAGUAUAUUUUUGAAGAAUUCUAGACGGUUGCGGCAUCAAAAGUGAAGAGUCUGCGCAACUUAGCUUGCCGCAACACUCCUUCAAGCAACUCCUAGUUAAAGUUUUCAUCUCUUUAUCUAUUCUUAUUUUUUUGUUUUUGUGUUGCGAGCUUGCUCCUAUGUUAUUCUUUCAAACUGUAGUCUGCAAUUUUAUUUUCUUCCCUUCUUCUUUUCUAUGUUUUUGUAUUGAAGAAAUUUGAAAUAUGUACCAAAAAAACAUGAUUUAGAGGACAAGUAAAAGUUGGCCUUGUAAUUAAAAAAUUAAAAAAUACUUCUAUCACACUUAUUACACAUACAAUACGGCAGUGAUUUCUCUGCUUUUAACUAGAAUUGGUGAUCAACAUAGGUUGUGGUGCACUGAUAAGAUUGCUUUACCAUUAAUCAGAGGUUUCAGGUUCAAGCUCAUGAAAUUUUUUUUGUUGGAGCGCCACUCCUGAAUGGAUCCUACAGAGCGCGAUCGGAAUUUAGUUGAAACUCCUAUAAGCUUCGGACAUUGAAUCUUAACUAAAACUUUCAAGUUUGAACUUUAGAAAUGAAUGACGAAUCUCGUGAGUGUGAAUAAAUGUAAAUCCAACUAUUUGGGAUUUAAAUUGAUUAAAGAGUCUUAGAUUAUAAUUUAUAGGUAUAUGAAUUUGGUCCAUAAUGGAUUUAAAAGGAGCCGAUAAAACAAAAAACUAUUUUUAAAAAAAAUAAAAAAAAUACACGUGGUGUCUCCCCAUUGGUUAAAUAUUUUUAUCUUAUUCUUGCUUAUUGAACAAAAAAAACUAAUUUAUUGCUUUAUAAGAGGGGGAAAAUGUUGCAAACAUAUUGUAAUUUGUUGUGGGAAAUAUUCAUAUAAAUGACAAUCUUGUAUCUUGUCAUCUUUUAUCUCACUACGUAUUGUAUAGAUGUAGUUCACAAAAUGUACGAAGAGUGUAAGGUAAUAAGUAGGUGAUCAGAGUGGUAUCUCCAAAAGCUACGAUUUGAAGCAACAACAAGCACACUCCUUAUUUGUUUCAUCUAAGAAGUACUAAUACAAUAAGUAUACAUUAGGAAACACCACUCCUUAUGAAAUGUAUGCAACCUGUUAGUGACACUUUAUACAAGUCGUUCUAUAUUUCUUCUUUUGAUAUUUUAUUCAUUCAGGUCAUAUAGUUUGAAGUUCAAAAAUGUUACGAUGUGACGAAUAAUUAUGGAUAUUCUUUGAAGACAUUAUUAGACAAAAUUGAUUAUAUAAUCAUAUCAGUUAUUUUAAGUUGUAAUACUAUAUUUUGGAUUUACAAUUUCUUCUUUUUUAACAUAGAUUGAGAUAUAUUACGUUUUAUGAAUUAAUAUUAUAUGUUUUAGAAUUUGAAAACACAUAGUUGCCUUUAAGAGAUUCUCUUAUAAUGACAAUUUUGUUGGAUUUACUAGUUAUCUACUUAGCACUAGACGUGCAAACUAGAUAAUUUGGUCAAUUGAUUUAGUUAUUAUUAAUGGUGGCUAAGCAAUUAGUUGUUAAAAUAUGUAACUAUUUAUGGUCAAAUUUUAGACGAAUUUACUAGCCAUAAAAAAAUGAUGAAAAUUAAGGUGUUUUUUCAAGCGAUAAUCUAGCCUUUGUAAUUGUUAGAAAAUUAUUGUAGCUAGAGGUAUCAAUUUUUAGCAGCAAUAUAUUAAAUUGACCAACUAUAAAAAUGGACGCUACAUGUUCAUGAUUAACCAUUUCGUAUUGGAUUCAACAGCCAUCUCAAUUGCCACUAAAACUAAUGCAUUUAUUGGCCAUGUAGCUAGAUCUAGCGGCUAUAAAAAUAGACAUUAUAUGAGCAUAACUAGCUAAUUCGGAUUGGAUUUAGCGGCUACCUAAUUGUCACAAACAAUUGCCACUAAAACAAAUGAGUUUUAGCGGCAAUAACCCUAGAUUUACCGGCGAUCAUCCGAAAUGCCGGAACAACCUUUGCCAACCCUGAUACAGCGGCCAAAGUGUAUUGGCUGGUAAAGGGUAUAACAAUCGUUGUUAUUUUUAGUGGAUGUUAAAUCCUCUUUGUGUCGUAGUGAAUGAAUCUAUAUUUUCAAGCAUUUAUCAAAAGUUCUCAUUCUUUGUGAUGGAACACAAACAUGUGAACAUAUCAAAUUAUGAUAGCUUUAGUACCUCAUUCCAUAUUUAUGUGCAUUAUUCAAUCACUUGUUUUCUUUUAUAUAUGCACUACUACCACAUUCACUUUAAUAAUGGAGCAAAUUUAGUAAAGUUCAUGACUUCUCAAAAAACACAUUAGUUUUUCUUUAGUCAUUAUUAUAUCAUUAAUAUGGAAGACUCAAAUUCAAUGUCUUAUCCAUCUAAAAAUGUUUUAGGCCAUAAAUCGAUGGACAUAAAUCCAUUGUCUUAUUCUUUUGGUGCGAUAAAACUUAAGUCUAUCGCGUUACACACAUUGAGGCUCAACCUCAAGCCUUCAAAUAAUUGUAAUUUUAUCACUUUUGGUAAUCAUUAAUAUGAUUGUAUAUUAUAAUUACACACAAAAUUGAGAUUGUUGAUUUAUUAUAAUCAACAAUAGUAGUUAAUAGAUAUAGCUUAAUAAUCACAUACCUUAUAUAAAGAUUGAAAACAUACCUUUCACUACAUCGUGUUUAUUUAAUUAUUAAAAUUACUUAUGGAGUUCUCUUCCCAAUUGGUUAAAAUUAAACGUUUAAAAAGUCGACAAGUCUCUUUAAAUACUUACUUGUAAUACUCCGAAAGUUCAUAUGACCUAAUCUAGAGUCUUACAUGUAUAGCCAAGACUUGUAACACUAUUUUGAAGACCUAAAAUAAUGUUUAUAAACCAUUUAGGAGGUUUUAUAGUUAAAAUGUCAAGGAACGUCCAUGACGUCUGUAGAUUAGUGAAAUAGGUGCUAGUGUGCCUCGACCUAUUUCAUGGAAUUUUAGGAGUCGAAAUUUGAUGAAAUUUAGGGCUAUGCCCGAAUGAUCUAUUCCGCUUUAGAUGAUUUUAUAUGAGAAGAUCUUAUUAGACCAUCUUUUAGUAUAUUGGUUAUAUUGCUUAUGUGAGAAUCAUAUGUAAGCUUCCUAUGCAAGGAGUUUAUGUAACCUCUGUAUGUAGUAUGUGAGAGGUCUAUGUAAACCUCACUAUAUAGUUAUAUGUAUGAAAAAAUUUAAUUUUUCUGCAUUUUAACCUAUAAUAUGUUAUGACGAAUGCUAAGAGACUAGUCUUAGUCCUAUUCAGGACGACGACGCCGGUUACGUCUAGGGGGCGCUUCACGAUUAUGAUAUUACUCCAGAUGGUAACAUUAAAUCUAUCACAUAAAAAUUAUAACGUAGAGGUAAAUCAUACCUUGAAGAUAUAUGAAUCUUAUUGCAUAACUUAUUCAAGAUCUCUUUUGCACUUUUGCCAUCUUCUAUAACAAUUAUUUAAAAAUAGAACAAUCAUGCUGAUAAUAUAUUAUGAAACUAUAUAAACAAGAAGAAGAAUAAAAUAGAGAGAAGAGAAAAGAUUUCUUAUUCAUCUUGAAGUAUAUUCAGAUUUCAUUGAUCUUCUUUACAAUGAAGGAAAACCCUUUAUUUAUAGGAGAAACCUAACUUUAUCCUAAGUAGGAUUCUUAAACAUAUCCUAAAAGGACUCCACAUAAUUAGACAUUCACUAUAAUACAAGUAUGUUUAUAACAGUUAUGAUUUUAUCAAAAGAAAUGGUUUAUGACAGUUAUAACUUAUAAUUGUCAAAUAGAUUCAAAAAAAAUUUUUUAAAUUUUUUAUAGUGUUACGAUCCAAAGUAUCCACUAGGCGUAACUAGCGUCCUUAUCCUUGAAGAGGACUUAGACAAGCCCUUAGCAUACGUCAUAGUACAUCAUAAGUCAAAAAUGCGAAAUAAUUAAAAAUUUUACGUAGUGAAGUAUACAUAAAUUUCUCGCAUAUCAUAUGUGGAGUUUAUAUAGACUCCUCACAUAGAAAGCUUAAAUAGUUUUCUGUUUUGGCAAUAUAACCAACACAAUUGAUUCAAAUUUUGGUUUUUCAAAGAAUACCCAUGUGAGGAGAAAAUUCCUAGUUUUAGGGAUUUAGAAAUCAUCUUUUUGGAGGGACCUCUUUGGAAAAAGAAUUCCAAGAGUGAAAGAAAUUAUACCUUAAAGAUGAAGUACCACGAAAUUGAGUAGAAUCUUGGAGGAUUUGAUCUUCUUCUUCAACCUACAAAACUUCUUCAAUGGAGGAUGAUGGAGAGGAAAGUAGAGAGAGGUGAGAGCUUUUGGGUUUGAUUUGGGUUUUGGUGUU